AAAUUAUCAAAAGGUAAAAUGAAACAGUCGAGACUCUCUGGGAAUCAUCAGAACAGUAUCUUGGAUGUUAUAAUCGAGAUAUCCGGUAAUGGAAUGAUACCUCAACUAAAUCUCAAGACUUUUCCAGGAUGCUAGAGCAGUAUCUCUAAAAAGUCUGGCAUGAGACUCUUCAUAUUGAUGAAGCAGCAUCUCAACAGUAAAAAUGAGAUUCUCUGUAUCGAGUCGAAACAGCAUCUUAUAUGAUAGAAUUAAGAUAUUCCAGCAAGGGAAAG
rnacentral:lncRNA from 1 species